CAAGACGACUGUACGGUUGCGGGAAAGAAAUUUCACGAGGAAAGUCCGAGCUUCGCACGGCAGGAUGCCGGUUAACGGCCGGUGAAGGUGACUUCAAGGAAAGUGCAACAGAAAAUAACCGCGGCGAAAGCCGUAAGGAUGAAAAGGCGAGGUAAGAGCUCACCGGCGGCACGGUAACGCGCCGCGCUGUGUAAACCCCAUCUGAAGCAAGAUAGGAACGGUCCGUAAGAUAGCCGGUCGGGAUCGUUCGCGAAACGUCGCUUGAACUUGUCGGUAACGGCAAGUGUAGAUAGAUAACCGUAUUAAAUGACAGAACUCGGCUUAUAGGUCGUCUUGACUU
rnacentral:RNase_P_RNA from 1 species